UGGGGAAUUUUGCACAAUGGGGGAAACCCUGAUGCAGCGACGCCGCGUGAUUUAGAAGGCCUUCGGGUUGUAAAAAUCUUUUCUAUGGGAAGAAAAUGACAGUACCAUAGGAAUAAGGACCGGCUAAUUACGUGCCAGCAGCCGCGGUAAUACGUAAGGUCCGAGCGUUGUCCGGAAUCAUUGGGCGUAAAGGGUACGUAGGCGGGUAAGCAAGUUAGAAGGGAAAUCCUAUAGCGCAACUAUAGUAAGCUUUUAAAACUGCUCAUCUUGAGGUAUGGAAGGGAAAGUGGAAUUCCUAGUGUAGCGGUGAAAGGCGCAGAUAUUAGGAGGAAUACCGGUGGCGAAGGCGACUUUCUGGCCAUAACCUGACGCUGAGGUACGAAAGCGUGGGUAGCAAACAGG
rnacentral:rRNA from 1 species